CUAAUGUAGUCACCUUUGGAAACUACCUCAGAGAAAUAUAUAACUAAGACAAAUAAGUAAAAAUGAUUUCUAAGGAGGAAAUUAAAUCAGGGAAGGGUGUAGAAAGUAUGAGUUUGGGGAUGGAGUUGCAAUUUUAAGUAGGGUGUCUAGGGAAGGAUUCCUUGAGAAAGUUAUGUUUAAAUUAAGACUAGAAGGAAGUGAGGAUAAGUGAGGCAAGAAACAUUCCAGGCAGAGGAAACAGUAAGUGCAAAGGCCCUGAGGCAGGAACAUGCCUGGCACAUUCAAGACAGCAAAAAGUUCAGUCUAUCUGAAGCCAAGUGAGUGAUGCGGUCUCAAGAAUAGUGUGAGAUAAAGUCAAAGAGGAUACUUCUGUCUGCUCUGCUGAGUGUAGACAAUAGGAAGCUAAAUAGACGGAGGGAGACCAGUUGGAAGACUACUGUAAUACUGCAGGCAAGAGAUGAUGCUGGCUUGGAUUAGGGUGGAAACAUCAGAGAUGGUGAGAGGUAGUUGAUUCUGGAUAUAUUUUGAACAUAUAUCCAACAAGAUUUGCUGAUGAAUUGGACAUAAAGUGCAGAGGAAGGAGAGAAGCCAAAGAUGAUUUCAAGAUUUUUGAGCCGAGCAACUGGAAUGACGGUGUUGGCACCCACCAGAUGAAGAAACCUGAGAAGAUUAGGAUUGGGACAGAAUAGUGGAAAGUCAUGUUAUGUUUGGAAUGACUGUUAGACUUCCAAGUGUAGCUAUUGAAUAUGAAGUGGAACACAUAACUGCACGUGUACGUGUGUGUAUAUGUAUACACGCACACACUUUUAAAUGCUUAGAAAAGUUUUGGAAAUACGCAUUAAAAACUGUUAACAGUGGCUACCUUGGGAUAAUAGGAAUCUUUGGAAGUGGCAUUGGGAUGUGAGAGGAGGGAGUAAUACGUAUCUUUUGUUUGCUUUUUAAAUUUAAUACUGUUCCACACCACGUAUUAUACAUAUAUGUAAGUAUUACCAUGUCCUGAAUUACUCUAUGACUGAAAAAUUACAUAAAAUUCGUAUGGUUGGUGAACUGAAUCAAGUCACCACAAAUAAGUUUUAACAGGAAAACCCACGUUGGACCAGGGUAUCGACAAUGUCCUUUCAAGCCCUGACGCUGAUUUCUACCACUGGGAGAGAACUGCCCGCUCUUACUCUCACUUCCUCCUCAGGCUUCUGUGAAAUUUGGAGUGCGUGAACAGCCUCUCUAAUUCACCUGCCUCAUCUCGAAAACAGUACCAAGAGCUCUCAGCGCUUACCUACCUCACAGGAAAUUUGAGGUUGGAUGCGAUAAGGUGUUCAAAUACUUUGAGUUACCACAAAGACAGGUGCUCGUGUAGGCAGGAUAUUAUGAGUCCUGGAAUAUUAAAAGACACAGUAAAAAGAAGCUUUUCCUGCCUUUUGAUCACACAGGCAUUUUUAUACUCUUGAACUAUUACUCUUCAUUUAGUCUGCCGUAGAAUGAGUGUUUCUCCCCAAACAGUAUUCAUUUUAGCAUUUUUGUUCAUGCCUUCUGUCAAACAAGAUUUCCUUAGCCUUUGAUUUUUAUCAAGAUUUACUUGACUUUAUUCUUCAAAGCAUUUAAUUCAAAGUUCACUCUAUCAGUGGGUGGAUUAGUUGAGUAACUGAAAUACCAGUGUUGAAUGCCAUAACAGUUUGUUAUAAUAUUUCUCUUCACAGGAGAAAUACUUACCAAAGUCACGUACUAAUGAACAAUGAAGUGACUGUCUAAAGAGCAGACAUUUUUAAAAUAAAGUUACUGGUAAACGCUGAAUGGAAAAUAAUAAUGACAGCUCUACAGAACGUUCAUUCAAUGCCUCUGAAGUAUGCUCCUAAGGCCAUCAUUAUGUGUUGGGUACUGUAUUCGGUGCUAAGAAUACAAGAAGAAAACACAUAUCUUUUCCCUCAUGAAGAUUAUAUUCUUCCAGAGAAAUGCCACACUGUAUUUUAAAUUCUGCAUAACUGUUCUAAUGAAGUACCAGAGAUGCCAUGGGAAGAGGAAUUUGGAGGUGGCUGGAAGUAUCCAUUUCUGGAGAUUAUGAAAUUUGCUAUUAUUACUUGGAAAAAAAAUUACCUUUAGUUCGACAAAGGUGAGGAGAGAACCAGAAAGUCAUCACCAUUCAGAAUCACAAAGGGCAGGCAAUGGAAAAAGUUGCAAGUUUCAGAAAAGAUGAGCCGUCUCAAUGUGUAAGAAGAUCUUUCUUAGAACUGGAACUUACGAGAAAUCAGACUGAAUGUUCUCAAAACAAACAGCCUUAAAAAAAAAACAGAACAGCCAGAUAAAAAUUAUGUCAAAUAGAGGCUGGGUAUUGAUGGAUAUUAUGGGUUGGGGAAGUGGGUCCUACCUCUGGAAGAAGGUUGAAGGAGAUUUCCUUAGAGGUUCUUUUCUAGUCUAGGGAACUUAAAACAAGAACAGUAAUUGUGAAGUUAUAUUUUCUCUAGAGAAAGAUUUCUCAACAACCAAAUGCACCCAAGAUGCUAAUAUUCUAUUUAUAUUUUAUAAUUAUUUAAACAAUGAUCUAAAACCCGAGAGGAGUAAAGAAAACAAACAGGCCUUGUUAAUUACUGAAGCGAGAAUUAAAGUACAGCCUUUACCAGAUAUUCUUUUGUCUGCAGCUCAGUAGAAAUCUUCCAUUCACUGGUUAAAUGUCUGUCAAAUUUUACAGAGAAUAAGUCAGAUGUGACCUGGACAUACUGAGCCCAUGUGGCAGAUUCGUCAGCUACCAAAUAAAAG
rnacentral:lncRNA from 1 species